GCUUUUUCUUUCACCGGAGCUUGCUCCACCGAAAGAAAAAGAGUGGCGAACGGGUGAGUAACACGUGGGUAACCUGCCCAUCAGAAGGGGAUAACACUUGGAAACAGGUGCUAAUACCGUAUAACACUAUUUUCCGCAUGGAAGAAAGUUGAAAGGCGCUUUUGCGUCACUGAUGGAUGGACCCGCGGUGCAUUAGCUAGUUGGUGAGGUAACGGCUCACCAAGGCAACGAUGCAUAGCCGACCUGAGAGGGUGAUCGGCCACACUGGGACUGAGACACGGCCCAGACUCCUACGGGAGGCAGCAGUAGGGAAUCUUCGGCAAUGGACGAAAGUCUGACCGAGCAACGCCGCGUGAGUGAAGAAGGUUUUCGGAUCGUAAAACUCUGUUGUUAGAGAAGAACAAGGAUGAGAGUAGAACGUUCAUCCCUUGACGGUAUCUAACCAGAAAGCCACGGCUAACUAC
rnacentral:rRNA from 1 species